CAGAGUUCUAGCCAGGAAAGUGAAUGCAACUUCAACCUCAGUGGGUGACUAUCUGUGAAGCUCCUCUGCUGGGGGAGAGUGGGCAGCCUCUCCCUUGCCCAUUGGGAGAAAAGGGAGUGACCUCGGCGAGACCAAUCCCUUCCCUUCCCUCUCCUCCUCCUCACCUACUCCACAUGAUGACAGCGAGGAUGAAGACCUUCAUGAUGAUCCAUUUCCACUUAAUGAACAGUUUGGAAAACAUUCAUCUUUGAUUAAAAAGUUGGAAAGAACUGACCGGGCGCGGUGGCUCACGCCUGUAAUCUCAGAACUUUGGGAGGCGGAGGCGGGCGGAUCACGAGGUCAAGAGAUCGAGACCACGGUGAAACCCCGUCUCUACUAAAAAUACCAAAAAAAAAAAUUAGCCGAGCUCUGUGGCGGGCGCCUAUAGUCCCAGCUACUCGGGAGGCUGAGGCAGGAGAAUGGCGUGAACCCGCGCGGCGAAGCUUGCCGUGAGCUGAUAUCGCGCCACUGCACUCCAGCCUCGGUGACAGAGCGAGACUCCGUCUC
rnacentral:lncRNA from 1 species